UCACGUUUGAUCUCUGUGUCUGCAGAGAUCCUGAAGGGAUUGGAAAGGAAGAGCAGGCCGCUGCUGAAAUGACCAUGACCAAGGAAGAAUUUCAGGGUGAGUGGACUGCUCCGGCUCCCAAAUUUACUGUAACUCAACCUGAGGUCACAGAAGAGAGUGAAGGCCUGCAGGUGUCCUCUGGCCUCUUCCGUGGUUCCCUGCUGGAGUGCAGCGCCCAGCCUGCCCCUCAAGACUGCAGCGACACUGCUCCAGCUACUGAAUGGCCUAAUUAAAUGCAGCCUCAUGUGCAGAAGGCAAAUAAGUCAGUUGUAAGAAAAGAUGAAAUGAGAAGUUGGCCCAAGAGCACACAAAGGCAUCAGCAAGUGUGAAUAUACUGCCCAGAAUGGCUCCCAUGAAAGUCAAGAAAUGGUCUCCAGGAUAAAUUUCUAUAUAUGGAAUGACUGGGUCAAAGAGCGUCCAUUGCUUCAGGAUUUUCACAAGUAUGGAAAAAAGUAGCCUUCUAAUAUAAUUGAACCUAUUUUCAAUCCAAUAGGCAGAAACAAUGAUUUCUAGAGUUUUUCCGUGGGUCAGAAGAGAAUCCUCAUAACUUUUAUGGUUGUGAAGUCUUGAUGUGAACCAAAAAAGCAGGUCAUAAGUACAUUUCACUCUUAAACUGGUCAGAAAAUAAGGCUCAUGAUAAGCAUCACUGUGGCUCUCACACAUUUACAAAGAAAUUGCAAAAAAAAAUUU